rnacentral:RNase_P_RNA from 1 species
AAAGCCGGUCAGACAACCGCUGCCACGCAAGUGGGAGAGGAAAGUCCGGGCUCCAUAGAGCAGGAUGCCGGCUAACGGCCGGACGCCGUGAGGCGAGGAAUAGGGCCACAGAGACGAGCGUAUUAAGUUACGGUGAAACGCGGUAACCUCCAUCCGGAGCAACACCAAAUAGGCAGGCGAUGAAGCGG